AGUAUCAAGGGAUGGGAAUCGAACCCACGACCUUCCGCUUACCGGGCAGAUGCCAUGAACAAUAGGCCACAUGACC